rnacentral:rRNA from 1 species
UGGCGGACGGGUGAGUAACGCGUGGGUAACCUGCCUUGUACUGGGGGACGAACAGUUGGAAACGACUGCUAAUACCGCAUAAGCGCACAGCUUCGCAUGAAGCAGUGUGAAAAACUCCGGUGGUACAAGAUGGACCCGCGUCUGAUUAGCUGGUUGGUGAGGUAACGGCCCACCAAGGCGACGAUCAGUAGCCGGCCUGAGAGGGUGAACGGCCACAUUGGGACUGAGACACGGCCCAAACUCCUACGGGAGGCAGCAUG